UUAAGUUCAGCGGGUAUCCCUACCUGAUCCGAGGUCAAAAUGGUAAAAUAGCUUGUGGAGGGCCGAUCCGGAGUCCUCGAGUUCGCGUUUCUGCUGCGCUCGAAGCCAACGUACCGGCCGCCAAUAGAUUUGAGGCGCACACCCCCGCGGAGGGGGGCGUGACAUGCCCAACACCAAGCAGAGCUUGAAGGUUUAAAUGA
rnacentral:misc_RNA from 1 species